ACACAUGCAGUCGAGCGAUUUACUUCGGUAAAGAGCGGCGGACGGGUGAGUAACGCGUGGGUAACCUGCCUCAUACACAUGGAUAACAUACCGAAAGGUAUGCUAAUAUAGGAUAAUAUAAGAGAUUCACAUGGAUUUCUUAUCAAAGCUCCGGCGGUAUGAGAUGGACCCGCGUCUGAUUAGCUAGUUGGUAAGGUAAUGGCUUACCAAGGCGACGAUCAGUAGCCGACCUGAGAGGGUGAUCGGCCACAUUGGAACUGAGACACGGUCCAAACUCCUACGGGAGGCAGCAGUGGGGAAUAUUGCACAAUGGGCGAAAGCCUGAUGCAGCAACGCCGCGUGAGUGAUGAAGGCCUUCGGGUCGUAAAACUCUGUCCUCAAGGAAGAUAAUGACGGUACUUGAGGAGGAAGCCCCGGCUAACUACGUGCCAGCAGCCGCGGUAAUACGUAGGGGGCUAGCGUUAUCCGGAUUUACUGGGCGUAAAGGGUGCGUAGGUGGUUUUUUAAGUCAGGAGUGAAAGGCUACGGCUCAACCGUAGUAAGCUCUUGAAACUGGAAAACUUGAGUGCAGGAGAGGAAAGUGGAAUUCCUAGUGUAGCGGUGAAAUGCGUAGAUAUUAGGAGGAACACCAGUAGCGAAGGCGGCUUUCUGGACUGUAACUGACACUGAGGCACGAAAGCGUGGGGAGCAAACAGAUUAGAUACCCUGUAGUCCACGCCGUAAACGAUGAGUACUAGUGUCGGGGGUACCCCCCUCGGUGCGUAGCUACGCAUAGUACUCGCUGGGGGAGUACGCUCCGCAGGAGUGGAACUCAAGGGA
rnacentral:rRNA from 1 species